rnacentral:rRNA from 1 species
UACAGAGGGUGCGAGCGUUGUCCGGAAUCACUGGGCGUAAAGGGCGCGUAGGUGGCGACCCAAGUCGAUGGUGAAAGCUCGCCGCUCAACGGCGAGUCGGCCACCGAUACUGGGUUGGCUGGAGCACUGUAGAGGCAGAUGGAAUUCCGGGUGUAGCGGUGGAAUGCGUAGAGAUCCGGAAGAACACCGGGUGGCGAAGGCGGUCUGCUGGGGCAGUUGCUGGACA